AUUAACGCGAUGAUAGGAAAUAGUAGCACGUCCCUUCUCCUUGAAGAGAGUCAGUGGCUGGUGAGAACUGACGGGGAAGCCGUGUGAAUCCAUCCUUGAGUUGUGCAGCCGAAGUCCAGUAAGCUGUACCGGUGCUCACCGUUAUGAGUAGAAGCCGGAAGGUCAUGGUACCUUCAACUUGGGUGGUAUCGCGGGAAGCAUAUAGAAAAGCUCUCGUCCCUUUA
rnacentral:ncRNA from 1 species